rfam:Cochliobolus heterostrophus C5 unplaced genomic scaffold COCHEscaffold_14, whole genome shotgun sequence.
GGGCUUGUGGUUUAGUGGUAUAAUACUCCCUUAGCAUCAGUUCUUCCGCCUUCAAAAGCGCAGGAGCAGGCCUGGGAGUGGUCCGGGGUUCGAUUCCCCGCGAGUCCA